rnacentral:rRNA from 1 species
GGCGAACGCUGGCGGCAGGCUUAACACAUGCAAGUCGAACGGGCCCCUUCGGGGGUCAGUGGCAGAUGGGUGAGUAACACGUGGGAACGUGCCCUUCGGUUCGGAACAACUCCGGGAAACUGGAGCUAAUACCGGAUACGCCCUUACGGGGAAAGAUUUAUCGCCGAAAGAUCGGCCCGCGUUGGAUUAGGGGGUUGGUGUGGUAAAGGCGCACCAAGCCUACGAUCCAUAGCUGGUCUGAGAGGAUGAUCAGCCACACUGGGACUGAGACACGGCCCAGACUCCUACGGGAGGCGGCAGUGGGGAAUAUUGGACAAUGGGCGCAAGCCUGAUCCAGCCAUGCCGCGUGAGUGAUGAAGGCCUUCGGGUUGUAAAGCUCUUUCGCACACGACGAUGAUGACGGUAGUGUGAGAAGAAGCCCCGGCUAACUUCGUGCCAGCAGCCGCCGUAAAAC